CUCCCUGUGGCUCAGUUGGUAGAGCAUGGUGUUUGCAAUGGUGUUUGCAACGCCAGGGUUGUGGGUUCGAUUCCCACGGGGGGC
rfam:Salmo salar isolate Sally breed double haploid chromosome ssa17, whole genome shotgun sequence.